rnacentral:rRNA from 1 species
AUGUUCAUGAUUAAAUCCAAUGCUUAUACUAUACCUCCUACUUCCAUUCUACAUUUUUGUAGCAAUGUAGAUGUCGACCGUAGUUGGAUGUACAAAGAGAGACGAGGGAAGUUGAUCAGUGAUGCUUGGCAACAUGGAGUAGAUAAUUUCCUAGAUCAUGCAUUCUCAUUGCCCGAUGCUGCUGUAGAUGGGAAAUCCCAUUGUCCUUGCAGCAAGUGCUUUUGCGGUCAUAAGUGGACAAGGGAUGUCAUGACCACACACUUGUGCAGCAAUGGGUUCAUGUUAGGAUAUGAGAGAUGGACUAGCCACGGGGAGUCUGAUGCACCUGAAAAUGUAGAGCAUGAUAACGCGGGGGAUGGAGAUAGAAUGAAUGACAUGCUAGUUGAUGCAAUUGUUGCUGAAGGAGUUUCUAAAGGUGAUGAGCCAACAAAAUCUGCCAAAAAAUUCUAUGAAAUGUUGAUGGAAGCCGACAAACGUUUGCAUGAGAAGACCACACAAUCACGUCUAUCCAUUGUAGGAAGGCUAAUGACUAUCAAAACACAACAUAAUCUGUCAGAAGCUUGUUACAAUGAGAUGAUGACUCUUAUACAUGACAUUGUUGGGGACGAUGCUGCAAAAGAUCUUCCAGCAAACUUCCAUAGGUCCAAGAAUAUUUCCAGGAAGGUGGUCAGCUGGGUAGUCAAAUUUGUUGAUGAAUCUACUGAGCCAAGAAAGGAGUCAGAUGAUGUGGAGCUUGAUCCCUCUGAAAUUUAUGUAAUAGAAAAUCAAGGCAAUAAUUAUGAGGGAGAAGAAUCUUCAGAAGAUGAAUUGGACGAGAGUACUGAUGAGGAAGAAGAAGAUUUACCUGAAGAGGAAGGACAAGAAGAGACAUAUGAGACCGAAGAUGAGGAUGAUGCAAUAGAGCAUGACUCUGAAUAUGACGAUGAUGAUUACUGA